rnacentral:rRNA from 1 species
AAACUAACAAGGAUUCCCCUAGUAACGGCGAGUGAACCGGGAAGAGCUCAAAUUUGAAAUCUGGCGUCCUCAGGGCGUCCGAGUUGUAAUCUAUAGAGGCGUUUUCCGUGCCGGACCGUGUCCAAGUCCCUUGGAACAGGGUAUCAAAGAGGGUGACAAUCCCGUACUUGACACGACGACCGGUGCUCUGUGAUACGUCUUCUACGAGUCGAGUUGUUUGGGAAUGCAGCUCAAAAUGGGUGGUGAGUUCCAUCUAAAGCUAAAUAUUGGCGAGAGACCGAUAGCGAACAAGUACCGUGAGGGAAAGAUGAAAAGCACUUUGGAAAGAGAGUUAAACAGUACGUGAAAUUGUUGAAAGGGAAACGAUUGAAGUCAGUCGUGACCGAGAGGCUCAGCCGGCUCUGCCGGUGUAUUCCCCUCGGUCGGGUCAACAUCAGUUUUGUCCGGUGGAUAAGGGCGGCAGGAAUGUGGCACCCUCGGGUGUGUUAUAGCCUGCUGUCGCAUACACCGGGUGAGACUGAGGAACGCAGCUCGCCUUUAUGGCCGGGGCCCGCCCACGUACGAGCUUAGGAUGUUGACGUAAUGGCUUUAAACGACCCGUCUU